rnacentral:rRNA from 1 species
GAUGAACGCUGGCGGCGUGCCUAAUACAUGCAAGUCGAGCGAACAGGUAAGGUGCUUGUUCCUUUGACGUUAGCGGCGGACGGGUGAGUAACACGUGGGUAACCUACCUAUAAGACUGGGAUAACUCCGGGAAACCGGUGCUAAUACCGGAUAACAUGUUGAACCACAUGGUUCUACAGUGAAAGGCGGCUUUGCUGUCACUUAUAGAUGGCCCCGCGCCGUAUUAGCUAGUUGGUGGGGUAACGGCUCACCAAGGCAACGAUACGUAGCCGACCUGAGAGGGUGAUCGGCCAAACGGGAACGGAGAAACGGUCCAGACUCCUACGGGAGGCAGCAGAAGGGAAUCUUGCGAAAUGGGCGAAGGCCUGACGGAGCAACGCCGCGUGAGUGAUGAAGGUCUUCGGACGUUAAACCUCUGUGAUUAGGGAAGAAGAAAUGCGGAAGUAACUGCGCGCGUAGUGACGGUACCUAAUCAGAAAGCCACGGCUAACUACGUG